rnacentral:rRNA from 1 species
UGGGGAAUAUUGGACAAUGGGCGCAAGCCUGAUCCAGCAAUACCGCGUGUGUGAAGAAGGCCUGAGGGUUGUAAAGCACUUUCACUAGGGAGGAAAACCUGCCGGCCAAUACCCGGCAGCUUGACAUUACCUAUAGAAGAAGCACCGGCUAACUCCGUGCCAGCAGCAGCGGUAAUACGGAGGGUGCAAGCGUUAAUCGGAAUUACUGGGCGUAAAGCGUGCGUAGGCGGUUGUUUAAGUCAGAUGUGAAAGCCCCGGGCUUAACCUGGGAACUGCAUUUGAUACUGGGCAACUAGAGUUUAAUAGAGGAGAGUGGGAUUUCAGGUGUAGCGGUGAAAUGCGUAGAGAUCUGAAGGAACACCAGUGGCGAAGGCGACUCUCUGGAUUAAAACUGACGCUGAGGUACGAAAGCGUGGGUAGCAAACAG